UACAGAGGGGGCAAGCGUUGUUCGGAAUUACUGGGCGUAAAGGGCGCGUAGGCGGCCCGCUAAGUCGAACGUGAAAUCCCCGGGCUCAACCCGGGAACUGCGUCCGAUACUGGCAGGCUUGAAUCCGGGAGAGGGAUGCGGAAUUUCAGGUGUAGCGGUGAAAUGCGUAGAUAUCUGGAGGAACACCGGUGGCGAAGGCGGCAUCCUGGACCGGUAUUGACGCUGAGGCGCGGAAGCCAGGGGAGCAAACGGG
rnacentral:rRNA from 1 species